rnacentral:rRNA from 1 species
AAGAGUUUGAUCAUGGCUCAGAUUGAACGCUGGCGGCAGGCCUAACACAUGCAAGUCGAACGGUAACAGGAAGCAGCUUGCUGCUUCGCUGACGAGUGGCGGACGGGUGAGUAAUGUCUGGGAAACUGCCUGAUGGAGGGGGAUAACUACUGGAAACGGUGGCUAAUACCGCAUAACGUCGCAAGACCAAAGAGGGGGACCUUCGGGCCUCUUGCCAUCAGAUGUGCCCAGAUGGGAUUAGCUAGUUGGUGAGGUAACGGCUCACCAAGGCGACGAUCCCUAGCUGGUCUGAGAGGAUGACCAGCCACACUGGAACUGAGACACGGUCCAGACUCCUACGGGAGGCAGCAGUGGGGAAUAUUGCACAAUGGGCGCAAGCCUGAUGCAGCCAUGCCGCGUGUAUGAAGAAGGCCUUCGGGUUGUAAAGUACUUUCAGCGGGGAGGAAGGUGCUGUGGUUAAUAACCGCAGCAAUUGACGUUACCCGCAGAAGAAGCACCGGCUAACUCCGUGCCAGCAGCCGCGGUAAUACGGAGGGUGCAAGCGUUAAUCGGAAUUACUGGGCGUAAAGCGCACGCAGGCGGUCUGUCAAGUCGGAUGUGAAAUCCCCGGGCUCAACCUGGGAACUGCAUUCGAAACUGGCAGGCUUGAGUCUUGUAGAGGGGGGUAGAAUUCCAGGUGUAGCGGUGAAAUGCGUAGAGAUCUGGAGGAAUACCGGUGGCGAAGGCGGCCCCCUGGACAAAGACUGACGCUCAGGUGCGAAAGCGUGGGGAGCAAACAGGAUUAGAUACCCUGGUAGUCCACGCCGUAAACGAUGUCUACUUGGAGGUUGUGCCCUUGAGGCGUGGCUUCCGGAGCUAACGCGUUAAGUAGACCGCCUGGGGAGUACGGCCGCAAGGUUAAAACUCAAAUGAAUUGACGGGGGCCCGCACAAGCGGUGGAGCAUGUGGUUUAAUUCGAUGCAACGCGAAGAACCUUACCUGGUCUUGACAUCCACAGAACUUUCCAGAGAUGGAUUGGUGCCUUCGGGAACUGUGAGACAGGUGCUGCAUGGCUGUCGUCAGCUCGUGUUGUGAAAUGUUGGGUUAAGUCCCGCAACGAGCGCAACCCUUAUCC